GAUUGAACGCUGGCGGCAGGCUUAACACAUGCAAGUCGAACGAUGACUCUCUAGCUUGCUAGAGAWGAUUAGUGGCGGACGGGUGAGUAACAUUUAGGAAUCUACCUAGUAGUGGGGGAUAGCUCGGGGAAACUCGAAUUAAUACCGCAUACGACCUACGGGUGAAAGGGGGCGCAAGCUCUUGCUAUUAGAUGAGCCUAAAUCAGAUUAGCUAGUUGGUGGGGUAAAGGCCCACCAAGGCGACGAUCUGUAACUGGUCUGAGAGGAUGAUCAGUCACACCGGAACUGAGACACGGUCCGGACUCCUACGGGAGGCAGCAGUGGGGAAUAUUGGACAAUGGGGGCAACCCUGAUCCAGCCAUGCCGCGUGUGUGAAGAAGGCCUUUUGGUUGUAAAGCACUUUAAGCAGGGAGGAGAGGCUAAUGGUUAAUACCCAUUAGAUUAGACGUUACCUGCAGAAUAAGCACCGGCUAACUCUGU
rnacentral:rRNA from 1 species